UGUCCAACUUUACCAAGGGCAUAGUAUUUGCUGGAUCCAAAUGAAAAUUAUUUUCUCUGUUCUCACCCCCACUUAAAUUUUCCAUUUCCAGAUUCUCUAGAAGAAGAAAUGGGAGAAGAGAGAAUUAUUUAAACCAAAUGGAAAUGAGAAGGAAAUUGUAUAAGUAACUCACAUAGAAUUAAAUAAAUAGAGCAAGUUAAUAGUAAACAAGUAUAUUAGAAGUAGUCAGUAAAAAUUAGGUUCAAUUUGGCAAGGCAAUUUAAUGACAAUUCAAACAAGCAAAAUCAACAUGUCUGGACACUUGUCCAGGAUCGACUUUGAGCUGGAAAAAAGAGAAGAUCAAGAACAUAAAAGAAGGAUAUAAAAGGUUUAAGGAAGAUCAAGGAAUAGCACCUACAGAAGUAAAUAAAAAAGAAGUGGCAAGGAGGGUGUGAAAAGACUCAAGAAUGCCUUCUCACUAUUCAAGAUUGUUGGGGGAAUCAACUAUUCCUGAAGGAAAAAAUAAAUGGGAUCUCACAUGAGAAAGGAAAGACUUGAAUCUUGUCAAGAAAUUAUAGAACAGAAGAGCAGAAGCAGCAAAGGCAAUAUUUGACUGAUGAGGGUGGUGUCCAUGUAUGUAGAGAAACAGAAAAACAUAAAAUAAAGACCUGGCCACAAACUAAAACAA